ACGGCUCAGUAACACGUGGACAAUCUAACCUAUGGAAGGGGAUAACCCCGGGAAACUGGGGAUAAUACCCUAUAGACUAUGGAUGCUGGAAUGCUCUGUAGUUGAAAGGUCCGCCGCCAUAGGAUGGGUCUGCGGCCGAUUAGGUUGUUGUUGGGGUAACGGCCCAACAAGCCUGUAAUCGGUACGGGUUGUGGGAGCAAGAGCCCGGAGAUGGAUUCUGAGACACGAAUCCAGGCCCUACGGGGCGCAGCAGGCGCGAAAACUUUGCAAUGCGGGAAACCGUGACAGGGGAACUCCGAGUGCCCGUUAAAUCGGGCUGUCCACCAGUUUAAAUAACUGGUGAAGAAAGGGCCGGGCAAGACCGGUGCCAGCCGCCGCGGUAAUACCGGCGGCUCGAGUGGUGGCCACUAUUACUGGGCUUAAAGCGUUCGUAGCUGGUUUGUUAAGUCUCUGGGGAAAUCUUCCGGCUUAACCGGAAGGCGUCUCAGGGAUACUGGCAGACUAGGGACCGGGAGAGGUGAGGGGUACUCCAGGGGUAGGAGUGAAAUCCUGUAAUCCUUGGGGGACCACCUGUGGCGAAGGCGCCUCACCAGAACGGCUCCGACAGUGAGGGACGAAAGCUGGGGGAGCAAACCGGAUUAGAUACCCGGGUAGUCCCAGCUGUAAACGAUGCGCGUUAGGUGUAUCGGUGACCACGAGUCACCGAGGUGCCGAAGAGAAAUCGUGAAACGUGCCGCCUGGGAAGUACGGUCGCAAGGCUGAAACUUAAAGGAAUUGGCGGGGGAG
rnacentral:rRNA from 1 species